GGGGGGGGGGAGUGUGGGAUGGGGUUGUGUGGAAGAGGGUGCAUCUGUAAUUUAGACUAAAUUAAAAUGGAGUCAGACAAAUUUACCUGACAGGAAAGCAAAAACCAAUGAGAACAGACAACAUGACUCUUAUCAUAACUACCUGUUGUGAUAUGUUUGAUAACAAACUUGAAUGUAGGAAUUUGAUAUUCAACAAGUAAUACUACUCUUUUGCAGUUUUGUCAGGCAAUCACAGCAGUUC
rnacentral:lncRNA from 1 species